UACCAAGGAGAGGCACAGAUUUGAGGGCAGGCUUGGCAUGACCAACAGAAGGCUUGUGAGCCCCCUUGUGCAUUGGGCAUUGAUGGAGGGAGGGCAGAGUCUGACCAUCCUUACGAGGACUCCAGGCCUCUUCUGUGAGGCCUCUGGGUGGAUACCUUCUGUGACACUGGAGUCAUCGCAUGACCCUCUCAACCUGAGUGUUCCUCACCUACCAACCGACACCUACCACCCAGACUGUCAAAAUUGUACCAUCCUGAGAGGUAACUUCAUCAUUCCUAACUUCCAUGGGUGAGAUCUGAGGCUCUGAGAAGGCACCUGCCUUGUCCAAGUUCACCCAGUUUGUAAGUUCCUGUUUCUAACAUGCCGUGGGACAGGAGACCAAGCACUUAUGGACAUUUGAAUUCCGUGUAAAAGAAGAGUGAAGAAGCUCUGAACCAGGAGAAAACACACAGAGACACCUCGGAAAGAAAGCUGCAUGAAGGCAGAAGAAGACAUUGGACAGAUGCAGCUGUGAGCCAAGGACUGCCAGCAACCAGCAGAAGCCCUCGGAGAGGCACGCAAUCGACUUUCCCUCAGGUCUUCCAGAAGGAACCAGCCCUACCGGCACAGUGAUUUUGGACCUCUGGCUUCUAGAACUGUACUCAAAUAAACUCCUGGUGUUUUA